rnacentral:rRNA from 1 species
AGGAUUAACGCUGGCGGCGUGCCUAACACAUGCAAGUCGAACGAGGUAGCAAUACCUAGUGGCAGACGGGUGAGUAACGCGUGGUCAACCUACCGUUGAGUGGGGGAUAACUAGCCGAAAGGUUAGCUAAUACCGCAUACGAGUCUUGGGGGCAUCCCUGGGACUUAAAAGGAGCAAUCCGCUCGAUGACGGGACCGCGUCCCAUUAGCUAGAUGGUGGGGUAACGGCCUACCAUGGCACCGAUGGGUAGCUGGUUUGAGAGAGCGACCAGCCACACUGGGACUGAGAAACGGCCCAGACUCCUACGGGAGGCAGCAGUGAGGAAUUUUCCGCAAUGGGCGAAAGCCUGACGGAGCGACGCCGCGUGUGGGAAGAAGGCCUUCGGGUCGUAAACCACUGUCGAAGGGGACGAUAAUGACGGUACCCUUGGAGGAAGCCCCGGCUAACUACGUGCCAGCAGCCGC